UGCUUGAAAGGUAGGAAGGCUUGAGGGAACGAGAUAUGAGUUAUAUAACGCGUCGAUGUCUAUUUCAGUAUUUUGUAUUAGUGUCAGAAGAAGAAAGAAGAAUCGUUAAGAAGAAGAAACUCGAACAUUUUAUUAUUCGAUUCAGAGAUUUCUGGGGUUACACGAGUCCUGGAAAAGGCCUGAACCUGAUUGUUUUCGUUUCGAGCCUGAAGGUGCAUCAAAUUGCACACAUUGCAGAAAAUUGACACCUGAUAUUUCUACCUGGAUAUGAGUUGUGGUUGCUUUGGUGGCUCAGUGGUGGAAAGGAAAAGGCAUCCUUUUUGUACUCGUGGAGAUGCAAAUGGUCAGGAAAUGCUCUGCAUUUCUUUUAAUCAUCUUUUUCACGAGGGCCCAUUGCUUGGUGCAGUGGUAAAAUGUCAGGCUGAGAAGUGAGAACAUGGGUUCAAGUUUGACAGCAUCCACUUCAUGAACGAAGAUGCUGAAGCCCCCUGCCCCCAGCAUUGAGUCUGUGCCAGGGAAUGUUAAGAUAUUCCGUUAUAAUGAAUUGAAGUUUGCAACAGACAACUUUCAUGAAAGCAAUAAAGUUGGCCGAGGAGGGUUUGGAACUGUUUACAAGGGAAUCCUUAGCAAUGGAACACAAAUUGCUGUUAAGGUCCUUUCUACUGAAUCAAAGCAAGGGACAAAUGAAUUUUUGACAGAGAUUCAAGCAGUCUCAAAUGUCAAGCAUCCAAACCUAGUUGAGUUAAUUGGUUGUUGUGCUCAAGGAAACAACCGAAUUUUGGUCUAUGAAUAUGUUGAAAAUAACAGCCUUGAUGGUGCAUUAUUAGGUUCCAAGAAGAAAACCAUUAACUUAGACUGGGAUAAAAGAUCUACCAUUUGCAUGGAUACUGCCAGAGGUCUGGCAUUCCUUCAUGAAGAACUUGAGCCACAUAUCGUGCAUAGAGACAUCAAAGCUAGUAAUAUACUUCUUGGCAAGGACUUCAUUGCAAAAAUUGGAGACUUUGGACUGGCUAAACUGUUCCCAGAAAAUAUAACUCAUAUUAGUACACGAGUUGCAGGAACCACUGGUUAUUUGGCACCAGAAUAUGCAUUGCGUGGUCAGUUAACCAAGAAGGCUGAUGUAUACAGUUUUGGGAUCCUAACACUUGAAAUAAUUAGUGGCAGAAGUGUUGCAACGGCAACCUGGGGAGGGAUGAAAAGGUUUCUUCUUGAAUGGACUUGGCAACUUUACGAGGAAGGAAAAUUGCUAGAGCUGGUGGACCCGGAGCUGGAAGAAUUCCCAGAGGAAGAAGUUCUUAGGUACAUAAAGAUAGCACUUUUCUGCACCCAAGCAGCAGCAGGCCGAAGGCCUACAAUGACCCAAGUUAUGGACAUGCUCUCAAGGCAUGUACGGCUUAAUGAGAAGGAACUUACACCCCCAGGUUUCUUUGAAGACUCGGUGGGAAGCAGUGGAGCUCCAUCCUCAUCAAGUAAAAAUUUGACAUCGACCAACUAUACAAGCCAAAUGUACAGCUCCUCUCAAAUCAGUAUCACUGAGGUGAUUCCUAGAUGAACUGAAGUAUUAUGUGUAGCCCCUUGCCAGUUUUCAAGAUUCCUUCUUAGCAUCCCAUGGAUUCAACGAGUGAGGUUGGAUAGAAAGGAAGGGCCGCCAUGCAGGAGAACAUUACUCGAGCGUUCUUAAUGCAUAGGUACUUGCAUCUCAAGUGCAUACAGCAAAUAUUGUCUGGCACAAGGUGUGCAUUUUCAAUUGAGGUCACCGAUACAUCAAAAGUGAGGAAUUUAAGACAUGUCAAUUUUAAUUAAUAGGAGUAGGUGAACAAUAAUUUAACAAUGGUUAUGGCAUUAAACAGAGCAAAAUGGCGAAACAGGAUAUAUGUUGUAAACCGCAUUUUUUGUCAACCACAUCUAGUUGGGCUUGAAUGAAGAUGACGAUGAUGAGAUGAGCAAUAGUUCUAUGAAAAGAUGGGGAAUUUAAGACAUCUGUCGAUUUUAUUUAGUAGUUGUACGUGAACAAUGACUUUAGUAAUGGACAUGGCAUAAUAAAUGGUGCGACAAGAUUCAUCUGAUCGACCAACCCCAUAGAAUAGGGGUGUAAA